AGUGAACGCUGGCGGUAGGCCUAACACAUCCAAGUCGAACGGCAGCACAGUAAGAGCUUGCUCUUACGGGUGGCGAGUGGCGGACGGGUGAGGAAUACAUCGGAAUCUACUUUUUCGUGGGGGAUAACGUAGGGAAACUUACGCUAAUACCGCAUACGACCUACGGGCGAAAGCAGGGGAUCUUCGGACCUUGCGCGAUUGAAUGAGCCGAUGUCGGAUUAGCUAGUUGGCGGGGUAAAGGCCCACCAAGGCGACGAUCCGUAGCUGGUCUGAGAGGAUGAUCAGCCACACUGGAACUGAGACACGGUCCAGACUCCUACGGGAGGCAGCAGUGGGGAAUAUUGGACAAUGGGCGCAAGCCUGAUCCAGCCAUACCGCGUGGGUGAAGAAGGCCUUCGGGUUGUAAAGCCCUUUUGUUGGGAAAGAAAAGCAGCAGGUUAAUACCCCGCUGUUCUGACGGUACCCAAAGAAUAAGCACCGGCUAACUUCGUG
rnacentral:rRNA from 1 species